UACGUAGGGUGCGAGCGUUAAUCGGAAUCACUGGGCUUAAAGGGUGCGUAGGCUGCGCGGAAAGUUGGGUGUGAAAUCCCUCGGCUCAACCGAGGAACUGCGCCCAAAACUGCCGUGCUCGAGGGAGACAGAGGUGAGCGGAACUUAGGGUGGAGCGGUGAAAUGCGUUGAUAUCCUAAGGAACACCGGUGGCGAAAGCGGCUCACUGGGUCUCUUCUGACGCUGAGGCACGAAAGCUAGGGUAGCGAACGGG
rnacentral:rRNA from 1 species